CCCUUAGAUGUUCUGGGCCGCACGCGCGCUACACUGACGAUGGCAACGAGUUUUUCCUUCGCCGAAAGGUGUGGGUAAUCUUUUGAAACAUCGUCGUGCUGGGGAUAGAUCAUUGCAAUUUUUGAUCUUGAACGAGGAAUUCCUCGUAAGCGCGAGUCAUCAGCUCGCGUUGAUUACGUCCCUGCCCUUUGUACACACCGCCCGUCGCUACUACCGAUUGAAUGGUUUAGUGAGGACUCCUGAUUGGCGCCGCCGCCCCGGCAACGGAGCAGCGGACUGCCGAAAAGUUGUUCAAACUUGAUCAUUUAGAGGAAGUAAAAGUCGUAACA
rnacentral:rRNA from 1 species